UACGUUCAUCUUAACUUAUAGACGGAAGUAGACUAUUGCAACGAUAGUUGAAGGAACGCAUU
rnacentral:ncRNA from 10 species